GGGACACGUGGUAUCCUGUCUGAAUAUGGGGGGACCAUCCUCCAAGGCUAAAUACUCCUGACUGACCGAUAGUGAACCAGUACCGUGAGGGAAAGGCGAAAAGAACCCCGGCGAGGGGAGUGAAAAAGAACCUGAAACCGUGUACGUACAAGCAGUGGGAGCCUCUUAAUGGGGUGACUGCGUACCUUUUGUAUAAUGGGUCAGCGACUUAUAUUCUGUAGCAAGGUUAACCGAAUAGGGGAGCCGAAGGGAAACCGAGUCUUAACUGGGCGUUAAGUUGCAGGGUAUAGACCCGAAACCCGGUGAUCUAGCCAUGGGCAGGUUGAAGGUUGGGUAACACUAACUGGAGGACCGAACCGACUAAUGUUGAAAAAUUAGCGGAUGACUUGUGGCUGGGGGUGAAAGGCCAAUCAAACCGGGAGAUAGCUGGUUCUCCCCGAAAGCUAUUUAGGUAGCGCCUCGUGAAUUCAUCUCCGGGGGUAGAGCACUGUUUCGGCAAGGGGGUCAUCCCGACUUACCAACCCGAUGCAAACUGCGAAUACCGGAGAAUGUUAUCACGGGAGACACACGGCGGGUGCUAACGUCCGUCGUGAAGAGGGAAACAACCCAGACCGCCAGCUAAGGUCCCAAAGUCAUGGUUAAGUGGGAAACGAUGUGGGAAGGCCCAGACAGCCAGGAUGUUGGCUUAGAAGCAGCCAUCAUUUAAAGAAAGCGUAAUAGCUCACUGGUCGAGUCGGCCUGCGCGGAAGAUGUAACGGGGCUAAACCAUGCACCGAAGCUGCGGCAGCGACACUAUGUGUUGUUGGGUAGGGGAGCGUUCUGUAAGCCUGUGAAGGUGUGCUGUGAGGCAUGCUGGAGGUAUCAGAAGUGCGAAUGCUGACAUAAGUAACGAUAAAGCGGGUGAAAAGCCCGCUCGCCGGAAGACCAAGGGUUCCUGUCCAACGUUAAUCGGGGCAGGGU
rnacentral:rRNA from 1 species